rnacentral:tRNA from 1 species
CGGGGCGUAGCGCAGUCUGGUAGCGCGCAGCGUUCGGGACGCUGAGGCCGGAGGUUCGAGUCCUCUCGCCCCGA